AUGUUUCAAAUCAUCAGAGUUUUCUAGACAUAUAUACUCUUCUUACUUUAGGAAGAAGCUUUAAGUUCAUAAGCAAGACUGGGAUAUUCCUCUUUCCAAUAAUUGGGUGGGCGAUGUUUCUUUUGGGCAUAAUUCCUUUGAAGCGCAUGGACAGCCGAAGUCAGCUGGACUGCCUUAAACGAUGCAUGGAUCUUAUCAAGAAAGGAGCCUCUGUUUUUUUCUUUCCAGAGGGAACACGCAGUAAAGAUGGAAGAAUAGGCACAUUCAAGAGGAGGUUCUGUGGCCAGUGAAUUCAUCAUUUCGGCUCAACUAAGGUGAUCAAGAGUAUGUAUUUGUUUG